rnacentral:rRNA from 1 species
GCGGGGGGGGCGUGCUAUACAUGCAGUCGAGCGAACAGAUGAGAAGCUUGCUUCUCUGAUGUUAGCGGCGGACGGGUGAGUAACACGUGGGUAACCUACCUAUAAGACUGGGAUAACUCCGGGAAACCGGGGCUAAUACCGGAUAAUAUUUUGAACCGCAUGGUUCAAUAGUGAAAGACGGUUUCGGCUGUCACUUAUAGAUGGACCCGCGCCGUAUUAGCUAGUUGGUAAGGUAACGGCUUACCAAGGCGACGAUACGUAGCCGACCUGAGAGGGUGAUCGGCCACACUGGAACUGAGACACGGUCCAGACUCCUACGGGAGGCAGCAGUAGGGAAUCUUCCGCAAUGGGCGAAAGCCUGACGGAGCAACGCCGCGUGAGUGAUGAAGGUCUUCGGAUCGUAAAACUCUGUUGUUAGGGAAGAACAAAUUUGUUAGUAACUGAACAAGUCUUGACGGUACCUAACCAGAAAGCCACGGCUAACUACGUGCCAGCAGCCGCGGUAAUACGUAGGUGGCAAGCGUUAUCCGGAAUUAUUGGGCGUAAAGCGCGCGUAGGCGGUUUCUUAAGUCUGAUGUGAAAGCCCACGGCUCAACCGUGGAGGGUCAUUGGAAACUGGGAAACUUGAGUGCAGAAGAGGAGAGUGGAAUUCCAUGUGUAGCGGUGAAAUGCGCAGAGAUAUGGAGGAACACCAGUGGCGAAGGCGGCUCUCUGGUCUGUAACUGACGCUGAUGUGCGAAAGCGUGGGGAUCAAACAGGAUUAGAUACCCUGGUAGUCCACGCCGUAAACGAUGAGUGCUAAGUGUUAGGGGGUUUCCGCCCCUUAGUGCUGCAGCUAACGCAUUAAGCACUCCGCCUGGGGAGUACGACCGCAAGGUUGAAACUCAAAGGAAUUGACGGGGACCCGCACAAGCGGUGGAGCAUGUGGUUUAAUUCGAAGCAACGCGAAGAACCUUACCAAAUCUUGACAUCCUUUGACCGCUCUAGAGAUAGAGUCUUCCCCUUCGGGGGACAAAGUGACAGGUGGUGCAUGGUUGUCGUCAGCUCGUGUCGUGAGAUGUUGGGUUAAGUCCCGCAACGAGCGCAACCCUUAAGCUUAGUUGCCAUCAUUAAGUUGGGCACUCUAGGUUGACUGCCGGUGACAAACCGGAGGAAGGUGGGGAUGACGUCAAAUCAUCAUGCCCCUUAUGAUUUGGGCUACACACGUGCUACAAUGGAUAAUACAAAGGGCAGCGAAUCCGCGAGGCCAAGCAAAUCCCAUAAAAUUAUUCUCAGUUCGGAUUGUAGUCUGCAACUCGACUACAUGAAGCUGGAAUCGCUAGUAAUCGUAGAUCAGCAUGCUACGGUGAAUACGUUCCCGGGUCUUGUACACACCGCCCGUCACACCACGAGAGUUUGUAACACCCGAAGCCGGUGGAGUAACCUUUUAGGAGCUAGCCGUCGAAGGUGGACCAAAG